AUUGAACGCUGGCGGCAGGCCUAACACAUGCAAGUCGAACGGUAACAGGAAGAAGCUUGCUUCUUUGCUGACGAGUGGCGGACGGGUGAGUAAUGUCUGGGAAACUGCCUGAUGGAGGGGGAUAACUACUGGAAACGGUAGCUAAUACCGCAUAACGUCGCAAGACCAAAGAGGGGGACCUUCGGGCCUCUUGCCAUCGGAUGUGCCCAGAUGGGAUUAGCUAGUAGGUGGGGUAACGGCUCACCUAGGCGACGAUCCCUAGCUGGUCUGAGAGGAUGACCAGCCACUGGAACUGAGACACGGUCCAGACUCCUACGGGAGGCAGCAGUGGGGAAUAUUGCACAAAGGGCGCAAGCCUGAUGCAGCCAUGCCGCGUGUAUGAAGAAGGCCUUCGGGUUGUAAAGUACUUUCAGCGGGGAGGAAGGGAGUAAAGUUAAUACCUUUGCUCAUUGACGUUACCCGCAGAAGAAGCACCGGCUAACUCCGUG
rnacentral:rRNA from 1 species